GACGAACGCUGGCGGCGUGCUUAACACAUGCAAGUCGAGCGGUAAGGCCCUUUCGGGGGUACACGAGCGGCGAACGGGUGAGUAACACGUGGGUGACCUGCCCUCAGCUCUGGGAUAAGCCUGGGAAACCGGGUCUAAUACUGGAUAUGACUCCAUGACGCAUGUUGUGGGGUGGAAAGCCUUGUGCGGCUGAGGAUGGGCCCGCGGCCUAUCAGCUUGUUGUGGGGUGANGGCCUACCAAGGCGACGACGGGUAGCCGGCCUGAGAGGGCGACCGGCCACACUGGGACUGAGACACGGCCCAGACUCCUACGGGAGGCAGCAGUGGGGAAUCUUGCGCAAUGGGCGAAAGCCUGACGCAGCGACGCCGCGUGAGGGAUGACGGCCUCGG
rnacentral:rRNA from 1 species